UGCGGUAAUUUGACCGUGCAAAGGUAGCAUAAUCAUUAGUCUUUUAAUUGAAGGCUGGAAUGAACGGCUGGAUGAGGGAUUAACUGUCUCAAAUACAAUUUAUAAGUUGACUUUUAAGUGAAAAGGCUUAAAUUAUUUAAAGGGACGAUAAGACCCUAUAAAACUUGACACUCCACUGUGUUUAGCUUUAAAUUUUAAUCUAAAAUUGUAAGGGUAGCUGUGUGUUUUGUUGGGGAGACAUUGAUAUAAGUAGUAACUGUCUGAUCAAAAAUUAUAAUUAUAAUUAGUAUAUGAUCCCUAUUUUAGGAUUAUAAGAAUAAGUUACUUUAGGGAUAACAGCGUAAUUUUCUCUGAGAGUUCUUAUCGAAGAGAGUAGUUGCGACCUCGAUGUUGAAUUAA
rnacentral:rRNA from 1 species